rnacentral:rRNA from 1 species
UACAGAGGUCUCAAGCGUUGUUCGGAUUCAUUGGGCGUAAAGCGCGCGUAGGCGGCGCGGUAAGUCGGGUGUGAAAUCUCGGAGCUUAACUCCGAAACUGCAUUCGAUACUGCCGUGCUUGAGGACUGGAGAGGAGACUGGAAUUUACGGUGUAGCGGUGAAAUGCGUAGAUAUCGUAAGGAAGACCAGUGGCGAAGGCGGGUCUCUGGACAGUUCCUGACGCUGAGGCACGAAGGCCAGGGGAGCAAACGGG